GACGAACGCUGGCGGCGUGCUUAACACAUGCAAGUCGAACGGAAAGGCCCUGCUUUUGUGGGGUGCUCGAGUGGCGAACGGGUGAGUAACACGUGAGUAACCUGCCCUUGACUUUGGGAUAACUUCAGGAAACUGGGGCUAAUACCGGAUAGGAGCUCCUGCUGCAUGGUGGGGGUUGGAAAGUUUCGGCGGUUGGGGAUGGACUCGCGGCUUAUCAGCUUGUUGGUGGGGUAGUGGCUUACCAAGGCUUUGACGGGUAGCCGGCCUGAGAGGGUGACCGGCCAAAUGGGGGAGGAGUGACGGCCCAGACCCAUCGGGGGGGGACGAGGGGGUAAUAUUGCAAAAGGGGGGGAGGCAGAAGGCAGCAACGCCGCGGGGGGGAGGAGGGCUUUCGGGUAGAAAACCGCUUUCGCCUGGGACGAAGCGGGAGUGAGGGGAAUGGGUAAAGAAGCACCGGCAAAUUACGG
rnacentral:rRNA from 1 species